rnacentral:rRNA from 1 species
GACGAACGCUGGCGGCGUGCCUAAUACAUGCAAGUCGAACGCUGAAGGAGGAGCUUGCUUCUCUGGAUGAGUUGUGAACGGGUGAGUAACGCGUAGGUAACCUGCCUGGUAGCGGGGGAUAACUAUUGGAAACGAUAGCUAAUACCGCAUAAGAGUAGAUGUCGCAUGACAUUUGCUUAAAAGGUGCAAUUGCAUCACUACCAGAUGGACCUGCGUUGUAUUAGCUAGUUGGUGAGGUAACGGCUCACCAAGGCAACGAUACAUAGCCGACCUGAGAGGGUGAUCGGCCACACUGGGACUGAGACACGGCCCAGACUCCUACGGGAGGCAGCAGUAGGGAAUCUUCGGCAAUGGACGGAAGUCUGACCGAGCAACGCCGCGUGAGUGAAGAAGGGUUUCGGAUCGUAAAGCUCUGUUGUAAGAGAAGAACGAGUGUGAGAGUGGAAAGUUCACACUGUGACGGUAUCUUACCAGAAAGGGACGGCUAACUACGUG